CCCUCUUCCUCUGUGUCUGAAUGCCACAGGCCUCUCACCCCUCAGUCCAGAUUUAGACCUCACUCUCUCCCGGACAUUCAGACCCAGCUGACUGUAGCUGGCUGGUGGUGCACAGGUUCUCUUGUAUCCCUCAGUCUUUUGUUUCCAUUACUUCCUCUCCUUCCUGCCCUUCUUCACUGUGCCUGGACUGAUCUGACAUGGUAGCAGUGCCUGCCAGAUGUCUGAGCCGGACAGCGGGACAAGGGUUGUAGUCCAGGGUUUCGCCAAUCGGUGUGGUUCCACAGAGGCGGACCUCCUGCUCCUCUUCCCCAACCAUGGAGCCUCUUGCAGAGGCUAAAUCUUCUAAAGCCUGCAAACAGAGCCAAGAGGAGGUGCAGAAGGUUCCAUUAUUUGAGCUGGACCAUGAGGAGGAUGAGGAAGAGGGUGGCCUCUCAAUGAAGGGCAGAGGUGGCUGUACAUAUGCAACACAUGGCCUUGCGACCCCUGCAGGCACAGACCCUGACACCUUCAUAUACAUGAACUUCAUGAAGAGUCACUGCUGCUACGACGCCAUCCCCACCAGCUCCAAACUGGUCAUUUUUGACACAACACUACAGGUGAAGAAGGCUUUUUUUGCUCUGGUGGCUAAUGGUGUGAGGGCAGCGCCACUGUGGGACAACAAGCUGAAGUGUUUUGUGGGUAUGCUGACCAUCACUGACUUCAUCAACAUUCUCCAUCGCUAUUACAAGUCUCCUCUGGUUCAGAUCUAUGAGCUGGAAGAACACAAGAUAGAGACAUGGAGAGAGAUCUAUCUACACUCUGUUAACAGACUGAUCAGCAUCACUCCUGACUGCAGUCUGUUUGAUGCCAUCUACUCCUUGUUGAAGAAUAAGAUACACCGACUGCCAGUCAUCGACCCGGCAACAGGAAAUGUUCUCCACAUCCUCACUCACAAACGCAUCCUGAAGUUUCUCCACAUCUUUGGAUCUACGAUUCCUAAACCCAGGUUUCUUCAGAGGCGGAUCAAUGAAGUGGCAAUCGGUACCUUCAAAGAGAUCGCAACAGUCAAGGAAUCGGCCACUGUUUUCGAAGCUCUGAGCAUUUUUGUAGAGAGAAGAGUGUCCGCUCUGCCUGUAGUCAAUGAGCAAGGUAAAGUCGUGGCGCUGUACUCCAGAUUUGAUGUCAUUAACCUCGCAGCCCAGAAAAACUACAACAACCUGAAUAUGACGAUGCGGGAGGCCAUUACCUCCAGAGCCUGCUGGGUGGAGGGAGUCCUCAAGUGUUACCCUUACGAAACCCUGGAGACCAUCAUCGACCGCAUUGCAAGGGCUGAGGUUCAUCGUUUGGUGUUGGUUGACAGCCAAGAUGUGGUGAAAGGGAUUGUCUCACUAUCUGACCUUCUACAAGCCCUGGUUCUCACUCCUGCAGGUAUUGAUGCACUGUACUCCUAACUCCAAUCCUCCCAUUCAUCCCUUGCUCUUUCUUUAUAUCCGUCCAUCCACCCAUCUGCCUUCAAAUCCUCGAGAGUUUCCUGCUUCUUCUGGCGAUCUAUGGUCCUCAUGUUCCCACUGAUCAAACUCUUCUUCAUCGUCAACACUUCUUCAUCCUCCUGAAGACAACAAGGAUCUUUCUUCUCUUCCUGUGAAACUUUCUGGUGUCAAGUUCCAACUCUGCUAAUUUCCUCCCUCUGUGAAAUCCCCUCUUUUCAAGAAUACUACCAAGUGUCCUCAUCGAACAAACGACACCUUUUAAGGGAUUCACCUAAAUCUCCUGUGCUCCUCAAAGGUCAACCUAAAAUAAACAAAUCGCCAGAAUAAAUGUUGGCAUUGCACAUUUCUGCAAACCAUAAGUAUGUUACAUUUGUACAUUAUUAUGUAGUAAAUCCACUGAAACUUUAAGUUUCAACAACACUGUGAUUAAUGUGUGGUUAUGUUUAGGAAAAGAUCAAAUAUCCACUUUUGGUGGCACAACAAAAACAACUGCUUUUAAUGGCACUGUCCCAGCAGGAACGCAGUGGUGUCUCGAUUAAAACAACCACUUUUCAUGUUACUUUCCUUGGUGGAAACAAGGUGAUGUAUCAUUAUAAAAGCCUGUGUUUGGUGGCUAAAAAGCUGCUGGAACAGGGAUGACUUGCUCUAAAACAACCAGUUUUGUGGUUUGUUGGUCUCGAACAAUGGUCCUCUUUGAUCAGCAACUUAGCAGCUGUCUCGCCUAGGUGACACACCAUCAUCUGUCCCCUCCACCUCCUGAUCACAAAAUCGGCUCUCAUACUACGUCACGUUAGAAAUGUUGAUGUACAAAUGUAACAUAUUCAUGGUUUGUAGAAACGUACAAUGCCAACAUUUUCUUCUGUCAACUGGGCUGCAAAUAACCAUCUCUUCAAAAUCAACCAGUCAACCGUUGAAGCAUCAAGCAAAAUGUGCCUGGAGCCUGCUCUUUCACAUCCUGUCCCUGGAAAAUAUACAAGAGUACCUUCAAAACUCUCUGCCCAGCCACAAUCAACUCUACUUUCACUAUUGAAUACUUGAUCCUCUAACACAGCUUCAAGACAACAGUUACCUCCACCAGAGUCCUGCAAUCUUACCUUCCAACCAACCAAGAAGUUUCCUUAUCCUCUACGUUCUACAAAGUCCAACACCGAACCUCCACACCCUCUCUCAAACGCCCCUUUCAUCGGUCUUCAUGCUGCAGUUCCUCCUCUGAAACCACCAUGCCACCAGCACCUCUUAGCCAACACAUCCCAGGUAUUUACGCGGGAUCGUACUGUCAAGAUGGAUGAAAACAAGAUGGAGAUUAAUCACGUAAAAGACUAUGAGGUGGCAAAGUAAAUGAGAGGUUAGCAGAGCGGGUGUGACGAAGAAGUCACCGUUUUCAGUCCCCGUCAGGAGACAAAUAUAGAAAAAGAAAGUGACAAUCGUUCUUACCAAUAAAAUGGACGCCAGAAAAGACUGUGGUUGUGCUGGGAAGCUGCCAGUGUGUGGCUGGAAAACAGCACUCAACUAAUGAUACACAUCCAGAGACUUCUGAACUGACUCUGACUAAAGAAUAACUUGGUGGUUAUUUUGGGAGUUCCGGUUUGUUGAUUCGACAUUAUUAAAAAAAAAAAAAGGUUGGGGAUGGAAUGUUUAAUGGUUUGUAGGAUAUUAUAUUUAAUGGUUUUUACUUGACUUUCUGGUCUUAGUAUGAUUGCAAAUUCAUUCAUACAUUGAAAAUAUUGGAUUUACAUUUUUGUAAAUGUACUUGUGCUCCAAUCACUGUGAAAAAUAAAGGUUAAAUGUUUUGCUUUGAA